rnacentral:rRNA from 1 species
UGAGGAAUAUUGCACAAUGGGCGCAAGCCUGAUGCAGCAACGCCGCGUGCGGGACGAAGGCCUUCGGGUCGUAAACCGCUUUUCUGGGGGAAGGGCAAGGACGGUACCUCAGGAAUAAGUCUCGGCUAACUACGUGCCAGCAGCCGCGGUAAAACGUAGGAGGCGAGCGUUAUCCGGAUUUACUGGGCGUAAAGCGCACGCAGGCGGCUCUGUUAGUCGGACGUGAAAGCUCUCGGCUUAACCGGGAGAGGCCGUUCGAUACUGCGGAGCUUGAGGCAGGGGGAGGAAGGCGGAAUUCCCGGUGUAGUGGUGGAAUGCGUAGAUAUCGCGAGGAACACCGGUGGCGAAAGCGGCAU